rnacentral:rRNA from 1 species
UUCCAGCUCCAAUAGCGUAUAUUAAAGUUGUUGUGGUUAAAAAGCUCGUAGUUGAACCUUGGGCCUGGCCGUCCGGUCCGCCUCACCGCGUGUACUGGCUCGGCCGGGCCUUUCCCUCUGUGGAACCCCAUGCCCUUCACUGGGCGUGGCGGGGAAACAGGACUUUUACUGUGAAAAAAUUAGAGUGCUCCAGGCAGGCCUAUGCUCGAAUACAUUAGCAUGGAAUAAUAGAAUAGGACGUGUGGUUCUAUUUUGUUGGUUUCUAGGACCGCCGUAAUGAUUAAUAGGGACAGUCGA